ACGGGAGCUGCUCAGACCAAGCUGAUCGUGACUCCCGAGGCUCCUCUUUGCCCUUGACCACCCACCUCUUGCUGAUCGUCCUGGAACCCGUCCGACCCCCAACACUUCCCUGCUGAUGUUUUAUCAGAAAGGGGCAUCGUGCUUUCAGCUCCAGCAGCCUACGACCUUCCGUGCAUCACGCUGGGCUGGGAAGGAUUAGGGGCUCUGCCCCCUUUCUGGGUCACGGCGCAGGCAGCAAGCAGCGCAGAGCAGGAUGCGGGGUCCGGCUGCACCUGCGCAUCCCUCGCACAGGUGCUUUUCUCCUCUCGCUCAAGCGGCGGUUUUAAAGCAACACUAACGAGAUUGUCCUGCUUUGAACAUCGCAUCCCCGAUCAGCCAGCGAGUCAUUCUACCCGCUCUGUCCCAGCCGGGAUCCGGCAACUCCACUCUCCUGGCUGCAAAAGCCCCAUAAGGAGAGAGGAAAGGAAGAAGAAAUCCGGGAUGCUUUGGAAGAACUGCAAACGACAGCGAACGAGACUCUCCCUGAGAGCAAAGGUGCCCCCAAAAUCAAGGAGGAAGAAAAAUCAAUGGCUUUCAAAUCAGUGCAUUAGAAAUCCUUCAAACAGGCUGUAAUUACAGGCCCAUCUGUUGUCGAAGUGUUGAAUCGCCUGCGGGCUGGUGCCUGCGGUAGAGACGCCUGAAGCUCUGUCUGGCUGGUCGUCACUGAGCUGCGCUGGGCAAAUGCCACCACAGAUGUCCCCACCGGCCCGCGGACGCCUCUGCCUCUGGGAAGUCCUCACAAAGGAGAAGCUGGGACUGAGGAGCGGCUCGGGUUCCCUCAUGAUUACCUUGAGUGAACAUUGCUCAGCUGUUUGCAACCUGAUUAGGAAGGAAAACCAAUUUUCUUUCCAUGAGAUUCAAAUGAACUCUUCUCAGUCGCCACACACCAAACACAUCAUUCCUUCAGCACUAGAUCUGGCAGCUAUAUUGUCAUUAAAUCCUUUUUCCUGCCCAAUCCUUCUGGUAGAAAUAUGUGUUUUUUCACAGAGCUUAAUCCACUCUGAAUAAACCUGUCCGGAACACAGUAACGACAUUCCAGCAUUGUUUUCACAGCAGUGAACAAGUCUUAAUCUUCAGCUGGUAAAAGUUCACAUACACCGGUUCAUUUGUACUAGCAGCCUCUUGCCUUUUUCAGCUGACAUAUUUCUGGCAUUUUAGCUUUUCAACAAGAAGCUAAUAUGCCAUCAGAAGUACUUCACCAGAAGGGAUUCUUCCUUGUAACCAGCCCCUAAAAGCAGUGAACACUUCUGCUGCAGUGACCUGCUUGGAUGGCAGGCGCUUGAACUGCUCUUCGCUCCGUCCACUGAUGAUGAAGGCUCCUGCGAGCUGCCAUGGGUGCGUUACUGAGCUGGCUGGCAAGAACAGAAAGGAGUGUCAUAGCGUCAGGUGUCACAUUUCCACACCGUUCCUGGCCCUUCUCCUUCUUCUGUCCUCGAUGCGGUAUUCUCAAGCAGCAGAAGUGGUACUGGGCAAACAAGAACAGUCCUGGAGCCCUGACUCUAUAAUCUUCUAGGACCAAGGUUUUUAAAAAUGAAUAAUUGAUUAAAAUAAUUUUUGCCAUAUCCUGCUUCUCUCUAAUCUUUAAUUGGCACCCUACAAGAGUCUCUCAGACAGACUCAAGUGACAUUUGAAGAAAAUUUCACCAUCGCAUUGAAAGGAAGAGGAAAACUGCAGGUUCUCAGCUGCAAAUCAAAUCCAUUCAAAAGGCUUUCUGUGGUUCCAUCAAAGGAAAGAAACAGGAAAAAAAAUUAGAGGUGACCAAUGGUUGACUGCAAAAAAUUUCUAGGAAGGAUUCUGUAUGUACAUAUUUCUCCUGUUUUAAAUCAAUGUAUUUUUUUUCUGUAUUUUUUGGAAUAGUUCAAAUAGAUUUUCUUUGAUAGGCUAUAAUAAAACACAAUUAUGUGCA